rnacentral:rRNA from 1 species
AACGAACGCUGGCGGCAGGCUUAACACAUGCAAGUCGAACGCACUCUUCGGAGUGAGUGGCAGACGGGUGAGUAACGCGUGGGAACGUACCUUUCGGUUCGGAAUAACCCAGGGAAACUUGGGCUAAUACCGGAUGCGCCGGAAACGGGAAAGAUUUAUCGCCGAAAGAUCGGCCCGCGUCGGAUUAGCUAGUUGGUGGGGUAAAGGCCUACCAAGGCGACGAUCCGUAGCUGGUCUGAGAGGAUGAUCAGCCACACUGGGACUGAGACACGGCCCAGACUCCUACGGGAGGCAGCAGUGGGGAAUAUUGGACAAUGGGCGAAGCCUGAUCCAGCCAUGCCGCGUGAGUGAAGAAGGCCUUAGGGUUGUAAAGCUCUUUCAGCGGGGACGAUAAUGACGGUACCGCAG